rnacentral:rRNA from 1 species
GAUGAACGCUAGCGGCAGGCUUAACACAUGCAAGUCGAACGGUAACAUUGGUGCUUGCAUCAGAUGACGAGUGGCGAACGGGUGCGUAACGCGUAUACAACCUACCUCUUAUUAAGGAAUAGCUCAGAGAAAUUUGAAUUAAUACCUUAUAAUAUCUUAAGAUCGCAUGAUUUAAAGAUUAAAGAAAUUCGAUAAGAGAUGGGUAUGCGUGAUAUUAGCUAGUUGGUAAGGUAACGGCUUACCAAGGCAACGAUAUCUAGGGGGUCUGAGAGGAUGAUCCCCCACACUGGUACUGAGACACGGACCAG